UGAACAAGUUGUGUGGAUAUC
rnacentral:miRNA from 1 species